rnacentral:tRNA from 1 species
GCGGAUAUAGUCGAAUGUUAAAAUUUCUCUUUGUCAAGGAGAAGACGCGUGUUCGAUUUUCGCUAUCCGCU